rnacentral:rRNA from 1 species
CGAGUGGCGAACGGGUGAGUAAUACAUCGGAACGUGUCCUGUAGUGGGGGAUAGCCCGGCGAAAGCCGGAUUAAUACCGCAUACGAUCUACGGAAGAAAGCGGGGGAUCCUUCGGGACCUCGCGCUAUAGGGGCGGCCGAUGGCAGAUUAGCUAGUUGGUGGGGUAAAGGCCUACCAAGGCGACGAUCUGUAGCUGGUCUGAGAGGACGACCAGCCACACUGGGACUGAGACACGGCCCAGACUCCUACGGGAGGCAGCAGUGGGGAAUUUUGGACAAUGGGGGAAACCCUGAUCCAGCAAUGCCGCGUGUGUGAAGAAGGCCUUCGGGUUGUAAAGCACUUUUGUCCGGAAAGAAAACUUCUCCAUUAAUACUGGGGGAGGAUGACGGUACCGGAAGAAUAAGCACCGGCUAACUACGUGCCAGCAGCCGC